GGGGUUGUGGCUCAGCGGUAGAGCAUUCGUCUAGCACAUAGACGGCGCUGGGUUCAAGCCUCAGCACCACA
rnacentral:tRNA from 1 species